GACAGAGGAUGCAAGCGUUAUCCGGAAUUACUGGGCGUAAAGCGUGCGCAGGCGGUGAUGUAAGACAGUUGUGAAAUCCCCGGGCUCAACCUGGGAACUGCAUCUGUGACUGCAUCGCUGGAGUGCGGCAGAGGGGGAUGGAAUUCCGCGUGUAGCAGUGAAAUGCGUAGAUAUGCGGAGGAACACCGAUGGCGAAGGCAAUCCCCUGGGCCUGCACUGACGCUCAUGCACGAAAGCGUGGGGAGCAAACAGG
rnacentral:rRNA from 1 species